UACAGAGGUCCCAAGCGUUGUUCGGAUUUACUGGGCGUAAAGGGUGCGUAGGUGGCGGGGUAAGUCUGGUGUGAAAGCUCCGAGCUCAACUCGGAAAAGCAUUGGAAACUAUCCCGCUGGAGGGUCGGAGGGGAGACUGGAAUUCUCGGUGUAGCAGUGAAAUGCGCAGAUAUCGGGAGGAACACCAACGGCGAAGGCAGCUUGCUGGGACAGUACUGACGCUGAGAUGCGAAAGCGUGGGGAGCAAACAGG
rnacentral:rRNA from 1 species